GUUAUUUUGGCAGAAUAGUGCAAUGGAUUUAGAAUCUGUGUAUGUAAAUUUUUUACAAGUAAUA
rnacentral:tRNA from 1 species